GGAGGCGACCGCUAUUGGAGUUCGAUUAAGCCAUGCGAGUAGAAAGAAAUUAGAUUCUUUGCAUACUGCUCAGUAACACGUGGAUAACCUGCCCUGUGCUGGGGGAUAAUCUCGGGAAACUGAGCAUAAUACCCCAUAGGUCACAACGCCUGGAACGGUGUGUGGCUGAAAGCUCUGGCGGCACAGGAUGGGUCUGCGGCGUAUCAGGUAGUAGGGGGUGUAAUGGACCCCCUAGCCUUCAACGCGUACGGGUUGUGGGGGCAAUAGCCCGGAGACGGAUUCUGAGACACGAAUCCGGACCCUACGGGGUGCAGCAGGCGCGAAAACUUCACACUGCAGGCAACUGUGAUGAGGGAACUCCAAGUGACUGCACAAUGUGUAGCCUUUUCUUGACUGUUAACAAGUCUUGGAAUAAGGGCUGGGAAAGACCGGUGC
rnacentral:rRNA from 1 species